rnacentral:rRNA from 1 species
GGGAAUAUUGGACAAUGGGCGCAAGCCUGAUCCAGCCAUGCCGCGUGCGUGAAGAAGGCCUUAGGGUUGUAAAGCGCUUUCACUGGUGAAGAUGAUGACGGUAGCCAGAGAAGAAGCCCCGGCUAACUCCGUGCCAGCAGCCGCGGUAAUACGGAGGGGGCAAGCGUUGUUCGGAAUUACUGGGCGUAAAGGGCGCGUAGGCGGAACAUCAAGUUAGGGGUGAAAGGCCUGGGCUCAACCUGGGAACGGCCUCUAAAACUGAUGAUCUGGAGUCCGGAAGAGGAUGGCGGAAUUCCCAGUGUAGAGGUGAAAUUCGUAGAUAUUGGGAAGAACACCGGUGGCGAAGGCGGCCAUCUGGUCCGGCACUGACGCUGAGGCGCGAAAGCGUGGGGAGCAAAC